AGAAUCAACGCUGGCGGCGUGCCUAACACAUGCAAGUCGAACGAGAAAAGGGAGCAAUCCCUGAGUACAGUGGCGACCGGGUGAGUAACACGUGACUAACCUACCCUCGAGUGUGGAAUAACAUCGGGAAACCGAUGCUAAUACCGCAUAACAUCGCAAGAUCAAAGGAGUAAUCCGCUUGAGGAGGGGUCGCGGCUGAUUAGCUAGUUGGCGGGGUAAUGGCCCACCAAGGCGAAGAUCGGUA
rnacentral:rRNA from 1 species